rnacentral:rRNA from 1 species
UACGAAGGGGGCUAGCGUUGCUCGGAUUGACUGGGCGUAAAGGGCGCGUAGGCGGCAGUUCAAGUCCGGGGUGAAAUCCUCCAGCUCAACUGGAGAAGUGCCUUGGAUACUGGAUUGCUCGAGGGAGGUAGGGGUCGAGGGAACUUCUGGUGGAGCGGUGAAAUGCGUUGAUAUCAGAAGGAACGCCGGUGGCGAAAGCGCUCGACUGGACCUCUUCUGACGCUGAGGCGCGAAAGCUAGGGGAGCAAACGGG